CCUAUGGGGGGCAGCAGUGGGGAAUAUUGGACAAUGGGCGAAAGCCUGAUCCAGCCAUGCCGCGUGUGUGAAGAAGGCCUUCGGGUUGUAAAGCACUUUCAGUGGGGAAGAAAGCCUUGGGGCUAAUACCCUCGAGGAAGGACAUCACCCACAGAAGAAGCACCGGCUAACUCCGUGCCAGCAGCCGCGGUAAUACGGAGGGUGCGAGCGUUAAUCGGAAUUACUGGGCGUAAAGCGCGCGUAGGCGGUCUGAUAAGCCGGUUGUGAAAGCCCCGGGCUCAACCUGGGAACGGCAUCCGGAACUGUCAGGCUAGAGUGCAGGAGAGGAAGGUAGAACAACAGGUGUAGCGGUGAAAUGCGUAGAGAUCGGGAGGAAUACCAGUGGCGAAGGCGGCCUUCUGGACUGACACUGACGCUGAGGUGCGAAAGCGUGGGUAGCAAACAGGAUUAGAUACCCGUGUAGUC
rnacentral:rRNA from 1 species